ACAGGUUUCCGUAGGUGAACCUGCGGAAGGAUCA
rnacentral:rRNA from 1 species